GGAUAGAGCCAGUAUUGAAUCAAGGUGUGUGGCUCCAGAGACUUCUUCCAGGUUUCCAAAAAAUAUCAGAAACAGCCUAUUGAUAUCCUUCUUAGAAAGCACGCUGGGAUCUUUUUUGGUGUUCUGCUGAAUCUGUAGAUCAGUUUGGUGAGAAUUGAUAGCUUAAAAUAGUGUGGCUGUAGGAAAUGGAUGCAAAGAUAUCAAGGAUGUUGGUGAGAAUAUUGCUCAGAUGAUCAACUAUGGGAUCCAGACAAGUAGAAGAGAGAGUUC